UACGUAGGGGGCAAGCGUUGUCCGGAUUUAUUGGGCGUAAAGAGCGUGUAGGCGGCCUGACAGGUCUGCUGUGAAAACUCGAGGCUCAACCUCGAGAUGUCGGCGGAAACCGUCUGGCUAGAGUCCGGAAGAGGAGAGUGGAAUUCCUGGGUGUAGCGGUGAAAUGCGCAGAUAAUCAGGAAGAACACCUAUGGCGAAGGCAGCUCUCUGGGACGGUACUGACGCUGAGACGCGAAAGCGUGGGGAGCGAACAGGAUU
rnacentral:rRNA from 1 species